AAAUUGAAGAGUUUGAUCAUGGCUCAGAUUGAACGCUGGCGGCAGGCCUAACACAUGCAAGUCGAGCGGAAACGAGUUAUCUGAACCUUCGGGGAACGAUAACGGCGUCGAGCGGCGGACGGGUGAGUAAUGCCUAGGAAAUUGCCCUGAUGUGGGGGAUAACCAUUGGAAACGAUGGCUAAUACCGCAUAAUGUCUACGGGCCAAAGAGGGGGACCUUCGGGCCUCUCGCGUCAGGAUAUGCCUAGGUGGGAUUAGCUAGUUGGUGAGGUAAUGGCUCACCAAGGCGACGAUCCCUAGCUGGUCUGAGAGGAUGAUCAGCCACACUGGAACUGAGACACGGUCCAGACUCCUACGGGAGGCAGCAGUGGGGAAUAUUGCACAAUGGGCGCAAGCCUGAUGCAGCCAUGCCGCGUGUGUGAAGAAGGCCUUCGGGUUGUAAAGCACUUUCAGUCGUGAGGAAGGUAGUGUAGUUAAUAGCUGCAUUAUUUGACGUUAGCGACAGAAGAAGCACCGGCUAACUCCGUGCCAGCAGCCGCGGUAAUACGGAGGGUGCGAGCGUUAAUCGGAAUUACUGGGCGUAAAGCGCAUGCAGGUGGUUUGUUAAGUCAGAUGUGAAAGCCCGGGGCUCAACCUCGGAAUAGCAUUUGAAACUGGCAGACUAGAGUACUGUAGAGGGGGUAGAAUUUCAGGUGUAGCGGUGAAAUGCGUAGAGAUCUGAAGGAAUACCGGUGGCGAAGGCGGCCCCCUGGACAGAUACUGACACUCAGAUGCGAAAGCGUGGGGAGCAAACAGGAUUAGAUACCCUGGUAGUCCACGCCGUAAACGAUGUCUACUUGGAGGUUGUGGCCUUGAGCCGUGGCUUUCGGAGCUAACGCGUUAAGUAGACCGCCUGGGGAGUACGGUCGCAAGAUUAAAACUCAAAUGAAUUGACGGGGGCCCGCACAAGCGGUGGAGCAUGUGGUUUAAUUCGAUGCAACGCGAAGAACCUUACCUACUCUUGACAUCCAGAGAACUUUUCAGAGAUGAAUUGGUGCCUUCGGGAACUCUGAGACAGGUGCUGCAUGGCUGUCGUCAGCUCGUGUUGUGAAAUGUUGGGUUAAGUCCCGCAACGAGCGCAACCCUUAUCCUUGUUUGCCAGCGAGUAAUGUCGGGAACUCCAGGGAGACUGCCGGUGAUAAACCGGAGGAAGGUGGGGACGACGUCAAGUCAUCAUGGCCCUUACGAGUAGGGCUACACACGUGCUACAAUGGCGCAUACAGAGGGCAGCAAGCUAGCGAUAGUGAGCGAAUCCCAAAAAGUGCGUCGUAGUCCGGAUUGGAGUCUGCAACUCGACUCCAUGAAGUCGGAAUCGCUAGUAAUCGUGGAUCAGAAUGCCACGGUGAAUACGUUCCCGGGCCUUGUACACACCGCCCGUCACACCAUGGGAGUGGGCUGCAAAAGAAGUAGGUAGUUUAACCUUCGGGAGGACGCUUACCACUUUGUGGUUCAUGACUGGGGUGAAGUCGUAACAAGGUAGCGCUAGGGGAACCUGGCGCUGGAUCACCUCCUUAAACGAUGAU
rnacentral:rRNA from 1 species